rnacentral:rRNA from 1 species
AAUAUGAGUUUGAUCCUGGCUCAGAAUGAACGCUAGUAAUAUGCUUUACACAUGCAAGUUGAACGAAAAUUUUCGUAGCGGACGGGUGAGUAAUAUGUAAAAUUUUACCUUUUAGUAUAGGAUAAGCAAAACUCUAAUAACAACUUUAUUGAUUAUUAUGGGAUAAAAUAUAUUAUUUUGUAAAUACUAUAUAAUUUGGAAGCAAAAAAAGAUAUCUUUAAUAUCGCUAAAAGAUAAAUUUGCAUAAGAUUAGGUAGUUGAUAAUUGUAUAAUUAUCAAGCCGAUGAUCUUUAAUUGAUCUUAGAGGAUGAUCAAUCACACUGGAACUGAGAUAAGGUCCAGGCUAAUAUUAGCCAGCAGUGAGGAAUAUUGGACAAUGAACGAAAGUUUGAUCCAGCAAUAUUACUUGAAUGAAGACAGCUUUUUUUGGUUGUAAAGUUCUUUCAUUAAAAAUGAUAAUGACAUUAUUUAAAGAAUUAGUCCCGGCUAAUCUCGUGCCAGCAGCCGCGGUAAUACGUAGGUGGCAAGCGUUGUCCGGAUUUAUUGGGCG